CUCUCAGCCACCGUACCCGAUGCUCUGCUUGCACUCGACGUCAUAAACGGAAGUCACUGUAGUUGUUUAAUCCACUGAGUGGCAGUACUGUGUUGAGCUUGAAGUAGAAGGGGGGGAAAUGGGAAAGAGCUGUUCUGCGAUUGACUGUAAAAACAGAUUCAACAAGAAAUCGAAUAUAUCUUUUUACAGACUGCCGAAAGCAAAAGAAAAGCGAACCAAAUGGAUCGAUGCACUUUGCAGAAACAACUGGAAUCCAGGCAGCGAAACGUGGAUCUGCAGUUGCCAUUUUGUGUCAGGAAAAAAGAGUGAUGAUCCUCUACUCACCCUGACUAUGUGCCAAGUUUAUUCAGUUUCACGCCCACCGCUGAUCGAAUUCGGGCCAUCAACAACCUGGAAAGGUAUCAACGAUUUCGAGAAGUUUCUGUGAAAAGAUUUGUCAGUGCCAACACAAGUAAAGAGCUAGCUGCAACAGCUCUCAUGAACCUGCAUCAAAAUUCUGCUGUAAAGAAAGAGCAACAGACGGUUGAAAUCCAAGACACUGUGGUCCAGACGGUUGAAGUCCAAGGCACUGCGGUCCAGACGGAUGAAACACACAGGGACAUCUCCUCUUUACAUGAACAGAUCAAAUCUUUAAACACUGAAUGCCAA